AAAUUUGGUUUUCCUUGACUGCAUCACAUGUUAAUUCAGAAUGUUACUUGAGGAAAUGACUCUGCAUCUUACAUUGUAGAAUGUGCCUAUUGCUUAUGCUACCUGUAAAAUUAUAGUCCUUUCCUACAUGAUGUUUUGUAUAAUUAUUUCAUGUGCCUUUUUUCUUUUUAUGAUGAAUAACAUACAGUGGUGGAUGGUGUUGGCAAUACUGAUGUAUUAUUAGGUUCUG
rnacentral:misc_RNA from 1 species